rnacentral:rRNA from 1 species
GCCUGUAGUCACACCACCCUGAAUGCACCCAAGUUCAUCUGGUCUCAGAAGCUAAGCAGGGUCAGCUCUAGUCAGUACCUGGAUGGUAGAAUUUUUGCCACAUUUUAUAGAACUGAAACUGAGUCUGGAGGAG